GAAAAACGAGACGCCCAAGGCAACCCUGCCUCAGUGACAGUGCCUCUGGACUACGAGGGGGAGCCUAAAAUCAAAUUUCUGCAGGGAACUUUCUUCAGUUUUCUAAGCAUCCAAUGUGGAAUUGAAGCUCUCACCAUCUAUGGAAGGAGACAGGAAACACCAGAGAUGAAAUCUGAAAGAGGCAUCUGCGCAGAGCCUGUCCUUGGUCCUCAGCAAUAACACAGGAUCCCACACAGUGAAGCUGAGUCGAGAGAUGAUAGCUCACUACACAAGACCAAUCCGUCUGGGCUUGCUUCACAUGGAUGACAAGGCAAAGGCCUUUCUUUGUUUGUCCCUUGCCUUCCUGUACAACAAGACUGCCAGAAAUCACAGCAGAGAAAUACAUUGCAGGAUAACAAGGUACAUCGCGCAGGACAAACAUCUUUCCAAAAUCCUGUAUAAAAUUAAAUAACUCAAAGUGGCAAGACCAUAGAUUAUAUAAAUUACUGAAAUGGUAGAGUGGAGACGGUUGAUGAAGAUUAAAUUGUCAUUCAACUAUAAGGCUAAUAAGAGCUAGGGAAAAAAAAAAAAAAAAAAAAAAAAGAUUAUAACCACAAUGCAUAAAAAACAAGCAAUCAGCAGAGAAAUGUUGCAUUUUGACAUCCAGUUUCCAUGCACUGUCUUGGACCUGCUUUUCAGAUCUGCUGAGUACCAAGAACUGACAAAACAGACAGUAAGUUUUUUCUGUUCAGAAGCCAAGCUGAAGGAGGGAGGUAGGAAGGGGACACAGGAUGGACCUGGUCCUGCCAUUCCUCAGGUUGCAAGGCCCAGUGAAGAAUUGUGUCCCAGGGAUGGACAUAGUCACGUUGCAAUAUAACCAGCUUCUGAGUGGAGAGGGCUGCCCACGUCCCUCCACCCCCCUGAGAGGCUCUGGAGGCAUUGUUGGGAUGGGAAAGGAGGGAGCAUGAGCACCACGGCUGCCUGAGCCGUGUCGCCGUGGAUAAAUAUGAACCCUCGGUCUCCUCGCCUAUUAGUCUGGCAGUUUGCUCAAGCACUAAAUCCACUUGCACACAAAAAAGGUACAUUCUGCUGCUUUUUCAAGUGUCUUGGAUUCCAUUGUGUACAAAUUUACAAAUGAACUGCUUGAGUGUUGACUAACGCUGCAGCCUGCAGUCAAGGUAAGAGCCUAUUUAUUUAUAUGCUCUUCAAGGACAUGAAGACGCUGUAUUUGUACAAUCUUCCAGUAGGUGCACAGCACACAGCCUAACAAACAGUUACCUGCCGCGGCCAUGUUUCGGAAGAGGACGAUAUAUGAGACCCUCAAGGAAAACACACUGCUUAGCCAGCGUCUGCUGGCAGGAAGGUCAUGCUACGCCUUUUGAUGAUGGCAGAACUGCAAAUGUAGAAAGAAGGAUUUUUUCCCACACUGUCACUUUGAUUGGACGUGUGUCCAGGAGGUUGCUCAGGACAUACAGCUGAGCUGUGCUGGGAGCAGAACAUCCCAGCUGCUGUGUGUGCACAGCACCCACUCAUUUAAAUGAGGCUGUGUGUUUGCAAUCGAUGGGACUGUCUGAUCCCUGGAUGGUAGGGAGCUCUCUUUUUCUAUUUCCUGCUGAUAUUUACUUCAAAGGUGCAUGACCACACGGAUGGCCCUAAUAACAAGAGCCACAAAGAAAAAUUAAUAAAACUCUGAGUGUGUUU